ACGUAAUAAUUCAGUUAAGGAGCUCAGCAAAGGAGUUCAGAAGGAGAUGCAUGCAGGGAUUGCUGGCGUUGCACGAAUGAUUGAGCGGUUAGAUCUUACCUCAAAACGAACUGGAGCCUCCAGUCCAGUUUCUGAUUUGAGGCCAGGGGCAUCAGACUUCUCCUUGAAGGGAAAGGCCAUGCAAGAGAACAUUAUUGCUCAGGCACUAGAGAAAAGAAGUGAGGAAAUUGCACUUGCUACAAGCUUGGAUGUUUCUUCACAUGUCUCCUGCACUGUCCCAAGUCGACUGGAUGUUCUCCAUAGAGGUCAUUGAUCCUGUGGAGACAAACCUGAAUGUUUAAUUGUGUUUUUACCUGUUCUUAUGAGAAGGGCAAAGGAUGCAAGUGACGUGCUGUGAAGAAACCAAUUUACCUAUUGGUUUGCGUCCUGCAUUGCUUAUUUAUGCACAGUAAUGACCUUAGUUGGCUGUAGAAAUUACUGUCCAAGUGAAAAAGUAAUUUCUUUUGUCAUGAACUCGGGAGACUAGAAGAUUGAAUGGUGAAAGGUUUCAUUCUCGUGCAUUUUUAUUAUUUGCUUUUCAAUUACAGAAGAACUAGAUGUUCUGCGCUGGCAUGUUUGCUUGUGCUCUUACUCAAGUUUCAUAAUUCUUCUUUGAUGUGAGAUUGGUGAUACAUUUUAACUUCUUAUUUUAUGAUCUUGUAAAACCGUGAAAAACAGUGCUGAACUGCUGAAUGCUAAUCAAACGCUCUUGCUCUGUAGCAAGCAGCACACAAAUUUAUUGGCAUAAUACUAUUACUAAGA
rnacentral:misc_RNA from 1 species